ensembl:snoRNA
GCUGCCACUAGAGGCGUUGCAGGAAUCACUGGUGUAUCACAUCCAUGUGUGCCAGUAGGUUGAAGAGAGGAGAGAGGCUAUGUCUACCCUCAGUAUUCUGACCUGUGAAUAGCUAAAUCAUUGGUAACCUAACACU